rnacentral:rRNA from 1 species
CUACGGAGGGUGCAAGCGUUGUCCGGAUUUAUAGGGUUUAAAGGGUGCGCAGGCGGUGCGUUAAGUCAGUGGUGAAAUCUUCCGGCUCAACCGGGAAACUGCCAUUGAUACUGGCGCACUUGAGUACGGACGAGGUAGGCGGAAUUUAUGGUGUAGCGGUGAAAUGCAUAGAUACCAUAAAGAACACCGAUAGCGAAGGCAGCUUACCAGACCGUAACUGACGCUCAGGCACGAAAGCGUGGGGAGCAAACAGGAUUAGAAACCCUGGUAGUCC